CAUAGGUUUAACACAGACAUGCUCACGUAAUGCAAAACAUACACAUUUUCACACACAAAAACUCAUUCACAUAGGCACCCAGACAUUCUCACACACAAGUUUGUAUUACUAGGCUGGCACAAGUUAAACAGACGGUCAGACUGAUAUUAUGUCUGUCUCUUUUGAAGCUCUCAGUAGUCUGUUAUGAAGUAACAUCAGUCCAACAGAAAUCCUGGAAAAGUCCCGUACACUGGUGGAAAGUUUUAGGUGGACCUCAGUCAAGGAGCUUCUGCAGAGACAUGGAAAAAACGAUGGAUGGACAAGCCUUCCCACAAGCUCUCCCUGCGGCCAGUCAUUUGUGUGAGGAAAGCUGUAUUGUGUUAUUCUUCAAGAUCAAAGACCAGGCACAUGUUCAAGAAUCCUUGAUUGAAGACUCCAAAAGCUGCUGUCCGCUCACACAGACCUAUACGUGCACCCAUAUGGAAACCUGCACACAAAGGCUAGCCUAACUAACAGAAGGACAAUGCUGUGCAAGACUUUGAGUAAACAUCAUCCAAUUACUUUUAACCGUCUUUAAUAGGAUGCUGUGGCUUUUUACAAACUAUAAGCAGACCAUCUUGCUCCAAAAUAGAAGCUUGUGGAAAUCCGUGGGAUCGGCCCGCAGACAGCUCACUGGAGCCUGUCCUGUAAUCUAAUGGAGAAUACCACCUACUCACCCCGGCUCAGUGACGUACAUCCAUUCAUUUAUGACAUAAUUCGUGGUAUGGACUCAUGCAACACAAACACGACUUAAUGUUUAUUGGCGUACUUUGGCUAAAAAUAUUUUUGCAGGGCCGAGGAAUAAGUGGGAGCUAUGAGUCCUUUAUGAGUGUUUUGCCACAAAGAGAGAGAGUCUUUAACGAAACACAACCGGGAAUGAAAAUCAACAUUUUCUGAACCAUCGUCUGAAUAUUUUAUUUUCGCACUUUCCACAGCUAAUUGGAAUCAGAUGUAGUUCUAAAAAUAUUUCAAAUUAUUAAACCAUUUGGGGUUUGGUUUUAUACUUUAUACUGUCGACGCUACUGAGACUUUUAAACGGGUUCUGAUAAUUACAGUACUGUACAUAUAUGUCUCCAUAUACAUACAAAGCUGUCCUGGUAUGACUAUAUCAAAAAGGCCAUUUUAAAACAAUUGUAUUUGUUUAAUUAAAGAUAAAAGACUGAA